UAUAUAUGUGUGUGUUUAUAUGCAUGUAUGUGUAUAUAUAUAAUCAUAGGUACAGGAGUGGCGGUGUGAUAAGUAGCAUGCUUACCAACCACAUGAUUCUGGGUUCAGUCCCACUGCGUGGCACCUUGGGCAAGUGUCUUCUAUUAUAGCCUCGGGCCGACCAAAGCCUUGUGAGUGGAUUUUGUAGACGGAAACUGA